rnacentral:ncRNA from 1 species
ACGGUUCCGGUUCACGCCCGAGCCACCGCCACGCUGUUCGGCCAGCAUUGUGGGGGGCAUUGACGGCGACCCGGCGACC